AAAUAUUAUAAAUAUUUAAAAUAACAUCGUUCUUUUUUAUUUUUCAGAGAUAUCUAGUUAGAUUUAUGGCCAGAUUUUGUUCACGAAACAUUUAAAAUUCACAAAAAAAAAAAAAAAAAAAAACAAAGAGGAGACCAGAGAAUAGUCAAAGACGCACUCGUGAAAGGUGUUGGAUUGCGCAACGUGGCGUUGAGAAAAUUCCUCUCCCCCCUUUUUUUUCACUGACAACGGAAUUACGCAUAAUAAUGAACGUAAACGAAGGUUUCACGGUGAACGUUUUUCAACAACAAAACUUGAAAAGCGCAAAAAGGAACAUUCAGGAACAGUUAAUUACCGAUUAGCCAGACGAAGGCUUCGGCCAUAGUGCAGAUCUAUCGUUUGAAAAAGAAUCUCGUCCAAAUUUUAUUUCCUUUGACUUUGCGGAUUGCGCAAUCGAACGAUUUUGCCUCGCGUCGCCUUUCACUUAUUCACGCAAAAACUUAACGACGAAACAGGAAUACGUAUAUUUUCUUUCUCUUUCUCUCCUUCUUUCAUCGUUUCAUUUUUUUCAAAAUAGAAGAAGGUUCGGUCGUAGGAUCCCAAAGUAGGUUCAUUUUGUCGAAUGGAUAAUCUGUGACGAGUGGAAGCGUCAUGAAAUAAUGGAAUUAUGUUAUACAUAUUUUUGCUCGAUAUUAGCGACACGAUUGAGUUUCGUGCUUGUGUUAUGUAACCACCGUAUUCCCUUUUCUAUGUAAUUUGAUUUAAAUUGUGGACUUGGAAGCGGCAAUCUGUGAUGUAUGGUUUAUUGAGGAUAAAAGGUGAUACGCUUUUAAAGCCGCAAACGAUAAUGAAUGGUAAGAAAAAUCGAAAGGUCGGAGUG